UACGAAGGUGGCUAGCGUUGUUCGGAAUCACUGGGCGUAAAGGGUGCGUAGGCGGGUCUUUAAGUCGGGGGUGAAAUCCUGGAGCUCAACUCCAGAACUGCCUUCGAUACUGGAGAGCUUGAGUCCGGGAGAGGUGAGUGGAACUGCGAGUGUAGAGGUGAAAUUCGUAGAUAUUCGCAAGAACACCAGUGGCGAAGGCGGCUCACUGGCCCGGUACUGACGCUGAGGUGCGAAAGCGUGGGGAGCAAACAGG
rnacentral:rRNA from 1 species